UACGUAGGUGGCAAGCGUUAUCCGGAAUUACUGGGCGUAAAGCGCGUGUAGGCGGCUUCGCAAGUCGGGUGUGAAAUCCCACGGCUCAACCGUGGAAGUGCAUUCGAAACUGCGAGGCUAGAGUCCUGGAGAGGAAGGUGGAAUGCUUGGUGUAGAGGUGAAAUUCGUAGAUAUCAAGCGGAACACCGGUGGCGAAGGCGGCCUUCUGGACAGUGACUGACGCUGAGACGCGAAAGCGUGGGGAGCAAACAGGG
rnacentral:rRNA from 1 species